UACGAAGGGGCUAGCGUUGCUCGGAAUCACUGGGCGUAAAGGGCGCGUAGGCGGCCAUUCAAGUCAGAGGUGAAAGCCCAAGGCUCAACCUUGGAACUGCCUUUGAUACUGUUUGGCUUGAGACCGGUAGAGGUAAGUGGAACUGCGAGUGUAGAGGUGAAAUUCGUAGAUAUUCGCAAGAACACCAGUGGCGAAGGCGGCUUACUGGACCGGUUCUGACGCUGAGGCGCGAAAGCGUGGGGAGCAAACAGGG
rnacentral:rRNA from 1 species